AUUGAACGCUGGCGGCAGGCCUAACACAUGCGAGUCGAGCGGAUGAAGGGAGCUUGCUCCUGGAUUCAGCGGCGGACGGGUGAGUAAUGCCUAGGAAUCUGCCUGGUAGUGGGGGAUAACGUCCGGAAACGGGCGCUAAUACCGCAUACGUCCUGAGGGAGAAAGUGGGGGAUCUUCGGACCUCACGCUAUCAGAUGAGCCUAGGUCGGAUUAGCUAGUUGGUGGGGUAAAGGCCUACCAAGGCGACGAUCCGUAACUGGUCUGAGAGGAUGAUCAGUCACACUGGAACUGAGACACGGUCCAGACUCCUACGGGAGGCAGCAGUGGGGAAUAUUGGACAAUGGGCGAAAGCCUGAUCCAGCCAUGCCGCGUGUGUGAAGAAGGUCUUCGGAUUGUAAAGCACUUUAAGUUGGGAGAAAGGGCAGUAAGUUAAUACCUUGCUGUUUUGACGUUACCAACAGAAUAAGCACCGGCUAACUUCGUG
rnacentral:rRNA from 1 species